UAGGGAAUCUUCGGCAAUGGACGGAAGUCUGACCGAGCAACGCCGCGUGAGUGAAGAAGGUUUUCGGAUCUUAAAGCUCUGUUGUUAGAGAAGAACGUUGGUAGGAGUGGAAAAUCUACCAAGUGACGGUAACUAACCAGAAAGGGACGGCUAACUACGUGCCAGCAGCCGCGGUAAUACGUAGGUCCCGAGCGUUGUCCGGAUUUAUUGGGCGUAAAGCGAGCGCAGGCGGUUCUUUAAGUCUGAAGUUAAAGGCAGUGGCUUAACCAUUGUACGCUUUGGAAACGGGAGGACUUGAGUGCAGAAGGGGAGAGUGGAAUUCCAUGUGUAGCGGUGAAAUGCGUAGAUAUAUGGAGGAACACCGGUGGCGAAAGCGGCUCUCUGGUCUGUAACUGACGCUGAGGCUCGAAAGCGUGGGGAGCAAACAGG
rnacentral:rRNA from 1 species